GGGGAAGUAGCUCAGUGGUAAUGUGUGUGCUUAGCAUGCAGGAAGUCCUGGGUUCAAUCCCCAGUACCCCCA
rnacentral:tRNA from 1 species